rnacentral:rRNA from 1 species
UACAGAGGAUGCAAGCGUUAUCCGGAAUGAUUGGGCGUAAAGCGUCUGUAGGUGGCUUUUUAAGUCCGCCGUCAAAUCCCAGGGCUCAACUCUGGACAGGCGGUGGAAACUACCAAGCUGGAGUACGGUAGGGGCAGAGGGAAUUUCCGGUGGAGCGGUGAAAUGCGUAGAGAUCGGAAGGAACACCAGUGGCGAAGGCGACUACCUGGCCUGUUCUUGACGCUGAGGCGCGAAAGCUAGGGGAGCAAACGGG